rnacentral:rRNA from 1 species
AUUGAACGCUGGCGGCAGGCCUAACACAUGCAAGUCGAACGGUAACAGGAAGCAGCUUGCUGCUUCGCUGACGAGUGGCGGACGGGUGAGUAAUGUCUGGGAAGCUGCCUGAUGGAGGGGGAUAACUACUGGAAACGGUAGCUAAUACCGCAUAAUGUCGCAAGACCAAAGAGGGGGACCUUCGGGCCUCUUGCCAUCGGAUGUGCCCAGAUGGGAUUAGCUUGUUGGUGGGGUAACGGCUCACCAAGGCGACGAUCCCUAGCUGGUCUGAGAGGAUGACCAGCCACACUGGAACUGAGACACGGUCCAGACUCCUACGGGAGGCAUCAGUGGGGAAUAUUGCACAAUGGGCGCAAGCCUGAUGCAGCCAUGCCGCGUGUAUGAAGAAGGCCCUCGGGUUGUAAAGUACUUUCAGCGGGGAGGAAGGGAGUAAAGUUAAUACCUUUGCUCAUUGACGUUACCCGCAGAAGAAGCACCGGCUAACUCCGUG